AGCAGUAGCCGCGGUAAUACGGAGGGUGCAAGCGUUAAUCGGAAUUACUGGGCGUAAAGCGCACGCAGGCGGUCUGACAAGUCAGAUGUAAAAUCCCCGGGCUUAACCUGGGAACUGCAUUUGAAACUGUCAGGCUGGAGUCUUGUAGAGGGGGGUGGAAUUCCAGGUGUAGCGGUGAAAUGCGUAGAGAUCUGGAGGAAUACCGGUGGCGAAGGCGGCCCCCUGGACAAAGACUGACGCUCAGGUGCGAAAGCGUGGGGAGCAAACAGGAUUAGAGACCCCGGUAGUCCCUGUCUCUUAUAC
rnacentral:rRNA from 1 species